rnacentral:rRNA from 1 species
CCUACGGGGGGCAGCAGUGGGGAAUAUUGCACAAUGGGCGCAAGCCUGAUGCAGCCAUGCCGCGUGUGUGAAGAAGGCCUUCGGGUUGUAAAGCACUUUCAGCGGGGAGGGAGGCGGUGAGGUUAAUAACCUCAUCGAUUGACGUUACCCGCAGAAGAAGCACCGGCUAACUCCGUGCCAGCAGCCGCGGUAAUACGGAGGGUGCAAGCGUUAAUCGGAAUUACUGGGCGUAAAGCGCACGCAGGCGGUCUGUCAAGUCGGAUGUGAAAUCCCCGGGCUCAACCUGGGAACUGCAUUCGAAACUGGCAGGCUAGAGUCUUGUAGAGGGGGGUAGAAUUCCAGGUGUAGCGGUGAAAUGCGUAGAGAUCUGGAGGAAUACCGGUGGCGAAGGCGGCCCCCUGGACAAAGACUGACGCUCAGGUGCGAAAGCGUGGGGAGCAAACAGGAUUAGAUACCCUUGUAGUC